UGCAAUCCAUAGAAAUUGCUCUGAGAUGUUAACUUGGGGCUAGGUGGGGAGGGGAAUAGCAGAUGCACUAUCAUGAUAUUUAAAAUAUAGAUGACAUUUAAGACUUUUAACUGUUUUCUUAAAACCUGAUCUGAUUUUCUGUUUUCUCAAUCUUAAAUUCCAGCCAGACAUCCCUGAGCUAAGAAGAAACAAAUAAUUUUCCCAUAAAAGUCUAGGAGAGAUUAAAAUUUCAGGGCUUUUUAUUCAUACAGUUACAACCUCAGCAGAGCCCUGGGCUUUCCCACCUUCCUCCUCCCCUCCAGCCAGGUGUGCAGUUGCAGCGAGCGAUGCCAGGCUGAUACGCUGGAUAAGACCCUCCCUGCCUCCUCCCUUCCCCAGCAGCGAAGUCCGUGUUCUUUGCACACACUGGCUGUGAGUUGGAGGUGGCCCGUCCCUGCUGCAGCUGGCGACAUGGAGACUGCUGGCCCUCAGCAGUGCCAUCCCAAGUGCAUCCUCCCGCUAGCGUCUGCAGCAAAGCACACACCGCAUGAGUGGAGCAAUCAAAUGUACGUGGCCAGGGAAGAGAUGAGGAGCCGUACGGACACGGGCGUCAAGUGGAAGCCAUCUCCCUGGCUCAAAAAGCCCUGCUUGUUUCUCCACCUUUGGAUUCUGGUGGUGUUUGUGUAUGUGCAGGGCAAAAUCCUGCUCAACACCACCACUGGCAGGUCGAUCUCUGGCCUUGCUGGAAAGAAGAUGCCUCCCUAGCAAGGGUACAAAUUUUUCUCAUAUUUUUAGAAAUGCCAGAUUAUUUGGGAUAUCACAGUUCUGGCUAAGUCCAAUGUGAGCAAUGCUUAAGAGGUCUGACUUUCCAAAAGUGCUUGCAUUCCUUCUCUGAAAAAAUUUGGUUUGUUGUCAGAUAUGCAAAGGGGAGGUACUCAGAUUCGGGAAUUGCAUGUGAAAAUUUGGGCCAAGUCAGACAUUUAGAAAAUGAACACGAAAGGAGAAGUUCAGGUUUAAAAAAUGUGGAAAACAGUCCUUUUUGACUAGUGCUUUGAAAGUGUCCUCAGUCUGGACAAGGCAUUGCUGACAAAAUAUGAUCUGUAAAACAGCAAGUCAGAUAAUAUUCUAUUACUCUUUUUAUGAGAGGUACGCUGAGUAACUAGAAGCAAAAUAACCCACAGAAUUAUGCCUUUAUGGCAUGAGAAAUGUUGCCGCAAGGAAAUGAAAAACUGCACACAAUUGCAAGCGUUAAUCCCCACCUUAGAUACUGUGAAAAGACCCUUGAGUUCCCCUUUGGCAGAGCUUCAGUUUCUGGAGGAGCUGUUGUGUGUGCGCAGCAGUGCCCUGGUAGACACAUCUGAGUCUGUGCCCUGCCUGUACCUGCUCAGCAGGAAUGUAAACAUGGCAGAGACACUGGUGCUUUUACCUGCUUGAUCUCUUCAAAUCAGCCAAGGAGAAAUGAUAACAGUGUUUCUCCUGUCUCUACACGUGUGUGGAUGUUUUGUGGCGGAGAAAGGAAAUUGUGCUUUUUGCAGGUGAGCUCAAGAGCAGAGAAUAAACUCCUUGUGACUCAGAGAAAUGAGAAGUAUCAUAAAGCAAAGGUUAAAUCUGCAAAAGUUCCAUUCAUUCGCUGUUCAGCAAACGAAGCUGGGGCAAUCCCUAAGCAAAAGCAUCCAAGACAGGGAACAUGACUGCAAUCAUGUAUGUUGGCUUUUAUUUGUCGUGCCAGUUAAAGCUCUCAUGCUAUCCAUGUUGCAGAAGAAGUGAUAUGGAAAGGUCAGAGACAUUGCUUAGGUGAAAAGAGAGCAAUGCCAGGGCAUUUCAGCAUGUUGCAAAUGGCUAUGAGACCAAAAACUGCAGAGAAUUCAUGGAGAGUCCAUCUCCUCAAGCCCAUUAAUGCUUGCUUGAUGCUGCUACCCUGGCUGUUGUGUUUUGUCUGAACUGUGUCCUAAUGUUCAAAGGAAAGCUGUGAGUGAGGACAUCUAUGGCCCAUUUCCAGUUUUGGUUACUGUCUAAUUUUGAAAAACUUCUUCAGUUUUUCUUGUGUCUGACCCUCGGUUUCUCAGUAAUUACAGAGAUGUCUCUGUAUAUGUGUGUAUAUGUGUGUGUGUGGCCAUCAUAAGACUUUUGCUACUUUUUGCAAAUCAUCUUUAUAUUUCUGGAAGAGCUAGAAAAUAUCAGGUGUUUUACCUCGUUGAAGAUAGGAGUAGUACAGAAAAUACAGCUGCCAGCUGCUGUUUCACAGCUGUGGAUUUCUCCACCAUGCCAACGUGAUAGUAGUAAUUAAAAUGACAGGUAAACAGCAUCCAUGUUGGUUUUCCAAGCCCAGCAAUGAGUAAACUCUGUACUAACCGUGUUAGAAGUGCACGAACUGUGCUGACCCCUGCCUGCACCACUAUACUUGCCUCUUGGGAAUGCAAUGUACUUAAUUAUUGUUAUUAUUUGGAACAGAGGGUUUGAUUAAUGCAUGAGUAGUGAGAAAAAGCACAUGUACUUCUGUGGGCAUAGAACCAUAUUCCUGCUCCUGCAAAGGCACAAGAACUUAGCUUCUUCCCAGUGGGAAUCCUGCCAUUUAUUUAAGUACAGGCAGGAUUAAACCCUGCACUAGGUCAAACUGGGACGUUCAGGAGUAGAAUUCAGCAUACAUUUAAUCGUUUGCAGGUAUGGGUCCAAGUUCUCCAUGCACUACUGCAAUACUUCGUUUUUGAGGGGGCUGAGGAGGAGAAAGCACAUGAGGCUUUGUUUCCUCAGUACUGCCACAUGACACCACAUGGCUUAGUUCACUCUGUCAGGUGAAGAACAGUUGGGGUAAGUUUUGCAGCAGAACAGCUGACUCCAUGAAAUGUAUCUCCUCAGAAUUAGUUAAACAACACAAGAGCAAGCACAGCCUUUGGUUUAAUGGCAGCUGAGUGAAGGUUCACACUGUACUAUAACAUCCUGUAUCUCUGUGGUGGUGAUGUGGUAUUUGCACACAUACUUCUUUGAAGCCGAUAACUUCUUGUCAGAUUUUCACACUGGCUGAUUUGGCUGUUAUUUAACAAGCGCAUUUUCCUGUUCCUGCCACGGGUUUAUUUUUGUUGCUGUUGUUGCAGUAGUAAAAUCGUCUCUGAUAUUCUCAGAAAUUUUUCAUAGUGCUGUUAAUAUUUUGCUUGAUGUUUUGCUGAAAUGGGUUUUGCUGGGAUUUUUAAAAUGUCACAUCUGUUCUCAAAGUGCAUUUACUUAAUUGGUGUACAGUGCUGGAUUGGAUUCAGUACCUACGCACCUAUUAGCUAGGUACAAAGCUGCAUGGGUUGUCAGAACAUACUUGGAAAAGAAAUGUGAGCUCAGCUUCCUCUAGCAGGAAGGUGACAAGCUCUGAUGAUGUGGGAGGUAACACAGCAGGGUAAUACUCAGGGCAAAUCAAAGACACAGGCCCUGCUGGCUGGUGUAAAUCAUGAGCAGAAGCCAUGAGAAGGAAGAUUUCUUUUCUGUGGAAAAAGUCCUACUCUUGGAGACCUUUCAAUCUGAAUAAGAAAAAAAUCAAUAAUACUAACCUCUCCUAUAGCGUGUCUGAUCUCUCCUCAUGCCCAUUAGAUUUCUUACACACAGGUAAACACUUUCUUAUACUAUAUAUUUUAUAUAUAACAUACAAAUAACGAAACCCAGUUUUUCCACAGAGCCUUUUAUAAUAGAUGUUAAUACACUUAAUCAGUGAGAUCAUAUAUCAUUCCUGUUUCAUGGGCUGGGGAACAGAGAAACGGAAAUAAAAUGGCUUGUCAUACAGACCAGAAGUGCAGUGGCAAAACCCUGCAUAGAAUUUAAAUUUCAUUUGCUGAAGCCCAGUGGUCUAUUUGCUAGGAAUUGCUGCCUCCAUAUUUUGCAGUAUGAAAAUACAAAAAUAUGGAGCAAUGGUAUUAAAAUACCAGAAAUUACUCAAAGAAAAACAACAGACAAAUGUAAAAAAACCCCAAAAUAAAUUUGGAAAUAAAAUGUUUUCUGAAUGGAAACAUAAAAUUACCUAUUCAAGUGUGACUAUCCCAUUCCACUCUGCUUGUUUUUCCUAAAACAAUCUCUGAUCUAGAUUCCUGUAUGUACUGCCAGUAUUGACAGAUCUGUAUUUUUCCAAUGGAAAAAAAAAACAACAAAAACCCCCGCAAACAAAAAACCCUGAAUUUUUUUGACUGACUUCAUUUGCUCUAGAGGAGGGAAAGGAAAGCAUGCAAAUCCAGCAGGACUCCUGAAAGGCCAGUUAUUGCUUUUUUUCUUUUAAUUUUUUUCUUUCAUUUAGUGCACUUUACAAAUGUGCUGUAGGCUCAGUUUAUAGUAAGAACACAUCUUAUCUGACAAAUGGCAACUGAUGCAAUAUGAUUUAAAAGUCUCCCCCAUCAUACAGAAAUUAAAAUCCUCUCCCCAGGGACAUUUCCCAAAACAUAAAGCAGAGCCUUCCUCCUCAUUAAAACAUUUUGUUGUGUGAGAAAUGACAAUGAGCCAUAAUUACUGAACACUAACAUAUGCUCAACAAUUUCAAUACCAGAACGCGUGGAGGCUGUCAAUUGCACUUCAUCUGGGGAAGUGAGUUUCUUGAUCUUGUCCGGAUGGAGGGCAGUUUAAAGAGAUGUUGUAGUUAGACCCUGAAAGCCUGUUUUCAACAUAGCAGCGGGAGAUCCAGCAGCCAACAAUACGAAGGUGACAGUUUGUUUUGUUUGCAGAAGCAUGUCUUACUGUCCCUUCACUACCCCGGCAUGCUCUUUUCUUAAAACAUGAGAAUAAUUUUCUCCAACAUUAUUAUUAUUAUAUACAAAAAUGGCAUGAAAAGAAGAUAAAGGUUGCCUACUCAGGCACUCAGAAGUUAGAAAAUAAUGGGAUUACUGUUGCCUUGACAACAUUUCUCUCUCCUUCCCCUGCCCCCAGCUUCAUUCGUGGAAAUGGCUAAACCACUUUGCUGAAACUCUAUAAAAUAAUUAAAUAAAAGAUUCAGCCGUGGGGAGACACCUGGCGUGGAAAACUUCCUCCUGCCCUCCCCCAAAGUCUGACAAAAUUAUGAACAGCUGCAAAACAGGGGUUUAUGGUGAGAAGAGUCAGGUAACACCACGUACCUUGAUGGUACGAGUAGCUCCAUCUGCACUUUUAAUUUAAUUUACACUGCACACAUCCCUGAGGGCCACAUGUGGUGUGUGUCCCUUUGUGCUGCAGGAGGUAAGAGCAUGUAAGCAGCAGCAGCACAGGGGACUCAGUUUCUUGCAGCUACCCAAGGAAGGUGGACCUUCUGUCCCAGGAAAGCAAAGACCAGGUGGGAUUGAAGAGGGCUGCAACAAGGCUGGACGUGCAGCUUCGGUGUUUUUAGCACUAUGAGUCCUGCUCUGGUGACCCACAUUCAACUCCAAUUGACGUGCCUGGUAAAUGGAAAGAGCUUGGCCUCUCUGGAGGCAUUGGAGGGUCUGCAGAGGUCCUGAGCUGGCAGCCCCUGAGGACAGGCGACAGUGCCUGUUGACUCCCAGUGUGUCAUCUCUAGCUGAGCUCUGAAUGAGGUCAGGCAAGAGACUGAUAAAUGGCCCUGCCUUGUCAACACUGACAUCAUUAGCGCUGUUAUCACCCAGCAAAUGGGAACGUGAAGGAAUUUGUAUCCCUGCCCUUGCCAAAGCUGGAGAGCAAGUGGGAACAGGAGCUGUGGAGGUGAUGGUGUUUGCUCAUACAACUUAUGUUCUCCUGCAAAGAAGCUCAGUGUCUGGUUUGUAACCAAAGGGACUUUGUAGCUGAUUACAAAACAUUAUGCCAUGGUUCAUUUUUCAGAUUGAUUGAAUUUAUGAUGAGGUUUCUUUCAAAGAAGGGAGAGAACAUUUCAGCACACACUGGCAUGGCUGAAACGCUAACAAAUCACUGGCCUGGUGCAAAGCCCAGAAAUACUGUGAUGCUCCGUUCCUUGUGCAACCUGUCUGAGCUAACAGGGCACCCAAAAAAGUCAGGUAAAGUUGCAUGCACAGAGGUUGGAAGUGGACCCAGCUAACCAGCAUGGUCACUGACAAGUCAUCUGACAGCACUGUGAGGGGAGGAAGCACUGCGGUUUAUUCAAAAGCUGAGUACUCUGGGGGGGGAAAAAAAUCAUUAAAUUUGCAUUUAAUGACAUGUAUUUAAAAAACAAAACAAUUACAGCUGCAUUAAUUUUUCUUCCUUUUCUUUUGCUUGGAGCACAGUCAGCCCUUGCUUGUUGCUUAGGAUUGCCACUGAACACCUUUCUGAGUGCCCCAGCAGCCCCUCCAUUUACCUCCGUGCACAACCAGCAGUGUUGGUGGCCUUUCAUCAGCACAGAGACUGGUCGGUCAGGCCUAUCAAGUCCUGCUCUGCAAUCAGUACUCAGCAAAGGGAUACCAAUAAUUGGCCCCACAGAUCUUAACUGGUGUGUUUGUGAAAAUUAUCUGAAGUCACAAGCAAAGUCACCUGUGACUGACUCAUAUAAGGUGACUGUGUGGCUCAUUCCUGUAUUGGGAGUGCUGGGUGAUAUGGCUGUCUGUGACCUCAGAGGACUAUGGCCUUCUGGUUCAAAAGUAUCUACUUCAAUUAGAUAUUUUGUUAAUUUGUCAACUUCAGUAUUCUAGGAGAGAUGUUUAAUUUCAAGAGAGGAAACAUAACAGCAUUUGAUAUGUCUUCUUUCUGCAGCUCUGAACCAAUCCUUUUUUAUCAGGUAACACCUGGUGCUUUUGCCAGUGCUAAGUAGUACUUUUAAGUUUUAAAAUCUAAAAUCCUUGGAUUGGUUAUGUGUGGAUGCAAGACAAUAAAUGACCAUAUUUCCCAUUGCUCACUCUCUCCCCUCAGUCCCUGCCCCUCUCAUGCACUCAUGUCAAAAGAAGAGAGUGCUCUGUUUUCCAAGCCAAGCAUUAAAGAGUGUUCUUCUCUGUCUAAAACACCUUAUUUAUAAAGAUGGAAGCGUUAGGAAAUGUGCAGUAUGUCAAUGUCAGGCAGCAGCUUGUGUAAUGCAAGGGUGCAAUUUCAACAGAGCAGUCCAGGUGUACACCAGCUAAAGAUUUGGCCUAUAAAUUGAUGGUUAAUAAAUAUGGAAUAACAGAUAUUUGUCUAGGAACCUCAGACUACUAACACCUGCUAUAAAGUGGAACUGGUUGUUCAAACUCCUCCAAAUAUAUGCGCUGUCUUGCAUUUUAUCGCAGAGAGAUGGACGAUUGCUCUACAGGUCCUGGUGGCCAAAAUCCAAUUCUUCCUACAAAGGAGAAUGAUCUGCAGCUGAAUUAUCUCUGAUGUUGGUAUUCUAUAUUCCUUUCAACACGGUUACAGUUUUGAAAGCAUAAUGCAGUUUGGUCUUGCAUGACAACAAUUUUUGCAGCAGAGUAAUGCAUGUGAAAAAUCUAAAUUGUGCUGGAAAUUUGAAAGGAAAAUCUAUUUGAUUAGGACAGUUAGCCUGGGAAAUGCUCUCUCAGUUGUAUUUCAUGUCAAUAAAAGCUUCUCUUGAUUUGA